GGGUCAGUAGGUUGGUCGUGCCACCGGUACGUACUGGUCUCACUGAUUCCUCCUUCCUGAAGAACCGUAAUGCCAUUAAUUUGGUGUUGCGGGGAAACAGGACUGUUACUUUGAAGAAAUUAGAGUGUUUAAAGCAAGCUAACGCUUGAAUACAUUAGCGUGGAAUAAUGAAAUAGGACGAUCGAUCCUAUUUUGUUGGUUUCUAGGAUUGACGUA
rnacentral:rRNA from 1 species